ensembl:lncRNA
GUUGUCUAAACACACACUGCACUUUUCUUUUCUUGCCCUUUGGGCAGAGAAAAUAUGCAAUCAGGCAGGCACACAGGACAGAUUUGUAAUUGUCAUUCAAUUUACUCCAUAAAAGAAUUCUUACUUACAAAUGUUACCCUCUGGCACAAUUUUUCCAUCCGUAGAAAAAAGGGUGAAUGCUCUUUUGCUUCCCAGGCUGUGAGGACGGAAUACAAUGGGUUCACAGCCUUCAGACUUUUUGAAAGGAGUGAACAGUGCUGAAAAGGUUCAGCAGAUCUUGAUGUGGGAGAAGUGCAAGUUUUCAGUAGGGCAUCUCCCUGCCGGAGCUGCUGUAGUGGAGGUAGGGUGUCAUCAGCAGCACAUUUAUUACAGCUUCAAAAAAACAGUGACAAAACCAGCCUAGAUCAGAUCUGUGCCCAUUUUGAGACCAGCAGGAGAUGCUGCAGGGGACAAUUCCUACCAGAAGUCUGCUCCCACUGUAGGUGGGAGCCUGAUGGCGUAGGAGAGCCACAAUCCAUAACGUUCAAGUGCUUUCCAGAGCCAAUCACAAGUCCCUACAUUCACAAUAUCCUCGGUUUAGCUGGCCCACUCCUGGAAUUGGCUCAGACUGGCCCAAGAGGCAAUUUUUUCCCUUACGUUUUCAUUCUCAGCAUCCUGAGUUGCAACAUUUCAGGUGCUCCUUCUGCCUGACCACCAUCCCAUGAAGGUCCACCAUUGCCACAACCCCAAUGAUGUCAGGCUUUCCCUUUUCAAACAACUCCUAAGAUCUCCAGUUAUAGUGGAGGAGCACCUUCCUUCCUGGGAAGGAUAGAGGCAGCAAGCUUCAUCCUCCUCCCAUUGCCUUCCUGUGGGAUUUCUGCCCACCCUGUCUUAUAGGGGCACAUGGGCAGAAGAACAUCUCAAGCAGUUUCCAAUGGCAGACCCAAUGCCUGGGGCCAGGCUGCCUCUCUUUGUGUAUGUGAGGGUCUCUGGAAUCUCCUAGAUUGGGGAAAACAUACCAAGAUUGGGACUCGGGUAAACAGCCCCUCAUGCUAUAUUUGGGUGCUGAUAAUGCAAACCACAGACAAACAAUAGAACAAGGACAAAUCUGUUGUCAGUAAACCAUGCAGGCAUUCAGGUCUUAAUUCUUCUUUUUGGUUUAGACUCAUUAAUGUCCAUUUUGCUGUUGAACGGGUAAUCCCAUCUCAACUCAGACAGGCCAUCCUACCCCUCCCGUCUACUAACACCAAUGCUCACACACACAAAAAAGGGAAAGUCACGACCUGGAGUUGGUGUGCUGCACACAGAGCACAGCCAGGAGCUUGCAGAGCAAAUUUUGGAAAGGUGGGAGCUGCCUGGAUUUCGAGUAACAGCCCAGUAAUGUUCUGAUGCUGACACCACCUGGGAGGAUGGAUUAGCAACCCCAGUUACAAAGUGGGUCUAGCCUUUAUCCGAAAAAAAGAAGCUAGAGAAGUUCCAGAGCUGCUUCAGAAAAAGAAGGAUCCCCCUAAAUAUCAGGGUCUCAACCACUGAUGCUACCAAUAUUGGAAGGACAAAUGGUUGACUUCCAAAAUGUCCAUGUCUCCAAAUGUGGAGGUCCCAAAUGUUGGCAUUCCAAAAACGGAGCCACCAAAUAUGGGAGUCCCAGAGGAAUGGGGUCGCCCAAAUGUUGGGGUCUCACGUGAUGGGGACCACAAAUAUUGAGGGUUUGCCAAUACUGAAGCACCUAGGUGCUUCAGGUACACUUCAGGUCACUCACCGUGGGUUUGAAGCCAAAAGAAAAAUGUGAGGUUAGGAUUUGAAGGAUGCUGUAGCAUUGCUCAUACAAUUUGGUAGCCUUCCACAGGCUGAAACUCUCCAAACCACAAUGUUUGGCCAGGAUGGUGUCUCCUAAGCUCCCUGACAUUCUCAGCACUUCUGAAACUAUAAAGAUGAAGCUCCAUACUGAUGCUGUGUAGGCUGAAAGUGCUGGACAGCAAAUGAUGCUUCUGCCCUACAGGAAUCCAGACCUCCUUGUGCACCCUUCCUCACGGGAUAAAGCACUCCUUAGGCAGCAAGCACUGCUCUGCUGGAAUUCCUUGCAGUCAGCAGAAAGCUGUGAUUUAUAACAGCUGAUGGGGAGGAGGAGACACGGUUCUCCCAAAGGAAACCCCAUUUGACAAUGUCUCCUUCCUGUACUUCCUAACAGGGACUCAGUGGGGGAUGACCAAUGGUGGAAAAAUUUCACUAAUGCACCAAGAAAAGAAUUAUGAUUAUUUGCUGGGCUUCCAUUCACCGUGGGGAAUUCUGGCUUGUGACAUCACCCCAUUGUUCCCGCCGGUGCCAAAAACACGCUGGGAUCCCAUCUCCUCAAUGGUUAAAGAUCUUUCCUGUUUGCUCGCUCCUGGUUUCCAAACACCGUUUCAUCAGUGCUGCACGGGACGUCUCUUUUCUUGAGCUGCAAUGUCCCUUUCGUCAUGUCUGCCUGGAAUUCUUUACAGCGGAGUGAACAAUGUAUUCCUACAGUCAGAAACAAAAGGGAAAAAAUAACUGCGGGAGGCAAAGCCCAUCUUUGGCAUCCAGGACCCCGUGUACGCCUUUGUUCCUUCUUUGGAAGCCUUGUUUGUGCAGCACGGACCCAUCCCUCUGCUGGAGCCUGUUGUUUUUCUUAGAGAUUUCAGUGUGGUGAUAGUGCCAGGAGCUCUGGCUGCAGGAAGCAGUGUCCCCUGCUCCUUAUCAGGGGAACAGCAGGAGCAGUGCAGCUCUGUGGCCAGGAGGUUGCUGCUCUCAGUCCAAGCAGAACCUCUCAGCCCACGGUGCGAAGGGGAAUUGAACACACAAGCUAAAAUGAAUAGCUGCUAUUGGAACAGUGAUGGUUGCAAGCUCAAGCAAUAACACGUGGGGAUGCUUGAUGCUGAAACAGCUGUUUCCCUAUGCCUGGAAGUUCUUCUUUGCAAACCUACAGGCAAACUGCUCCAUAAAAAGCCAUUGGUUUUUAACACAGAAAUUCUGCAUCUCUGGGCAAAGCUCUGGGAGCUCUGUUCCAAACAGUCCCGGUCUAUGCAGCCCCAAUCCCACCUCCCCUCCACAGGGUUCCCGCAUCCCUGCCACAAGUGGAGACCUUUACCCACAGCCUCACAUCCUCUCAGACCUUUGAAGCACUGGUGCCAAACAUCCCCACACAUGCUGGUCAGGUCUGUGCCUGCUCAACGCAGUAGGGUAUUUCCUGGAGAAAAAAAAAAGAAAAGAGUUCAAACUCCAUUCAAUAGGCAUAUAUGAACAAGAGGGUGUAACAUUUGCUCCAUUUUCUCCAACAGCGUAAAUCACUCUUGGGAUUGAUGAGAAACGAACAAAACAAGUGAGAGAUCUUGGAUGAAAGGUCUGGUUUGUAAAGAUAUUUUUGCAGCUGGCAUUAAAGGUGCUUUUUGGAAGUGUCAGCUAAUUGAGAGAGCUGUGGCCACAAAAGCAGGCUGGGAAGGGAAACAGCUUGAAUGCACAUCUCCAAGCCCUCAGGUUAACUUGAGACCGUUCACCCUUCCCAGAGGCAUGGGAGACCUUCACGCAACACAGUUCUCUGCCUGACCCUCUCAGUAAAUGCAUCCUUGACAGUCAUAGGACCACCUAAAUGGCAGCAGCACCCUUUCUAAGAAAGUGCCCCUUCAAGAAUAAAUGAUGUCAUUUACUCCCCAGCCUUUCCUCUGUGUGCACAACCGCUGCGUUACCUUCCCCACGUCGAAAAUAUCUUCUUUCAUCCCGCAGUGAUCAGAAUGAGGAUGGUAGAAAUCGGAGCCAGGAGACUUCAAUUAUAUCACUGGGUUGGCAUCUGGAAUGACAUGUAGUAUCUCAGCUCAGACAUAAGUCUGCAACUUGGCACAGCUGGAACAUGGGCUGUAACAGGUAACGCUGCUAUUGUAUUUCCCUAUUGUCUUCAGAGUGAUUGCUGCAUUGGUACAGAGGUCAAAAACUUCCCUCCUUCUGCUCCUGCUUGUUUGCUGCUCACACAGAAGUGUUAUUUUAUCAGCUACAACACCGUUUUCUUCUUAUUUUUCUUAACAGUUUUCACUACUUCUGAUUUUCUCUGCUUAGCAUUUCC